rnacentral:lncRNA from 1 species
UAACUACAGAAACAAAUGACAUGGGAAUCUCAGGAAGCUUAACUAAAACUAAACUAAUAACAGGGACUAUAAACUCAGAAAGAACAAAGGCCCCCUCACUUGAUGGUUCCUGUUGUCUCCAUAAACACUAAAUAAUCUUUUUGAUUCACAUGAUGUUUAUUGAUGGACUGGAGUCAUGUGGAUUAUUGUGAUGUUUUUAUCAGCUUUUCAGACUCUCGUUCUGAUGGCACCCAUUCACCGCAGAGGAUCCAUUGAUUCUUACCCAGAACAAGACCCAGACAGCAGAUUAGCCAUGUUACUAUAAGGUGAACAAUAGUAAAAGUCAACCCACCUUCAUUUUUGUUAAGGACUUAUACUGCUAAACCAGUGCUACUUACAUGCAAUACAUUUUAAUCUUAAAAUUAUAUUAAACAUAAAACAUAGCUACACAUGAAGAAGAAAUAUAUAACCAACCAUACUCCUUGUACUUUAGACAGUACCGCAAAGGAAAAGCUUUAACAAGAGGUACAAAAAGGAAACUCAUGGGUUUUUACACAUAAUAAAUGAGAUAUCCAAAAUAAUGCUUGACUUGUACUAAACUUAGCUAACUAGCAUCAACACUAUUUUAUACCCACAGGAGAUCCCCACUGACCAUUUUAACGCUUUUAAUGGAAUUUACUGUCAUUUCAUUCUGUUAUACGUUUGUUGCUGUUUAUUUGGUGCUUUGAUAAAGUUGUGAAAAAACAAAACAAAACAGAAUGUGGAAACAAUGUUACACAAUGUAAACAAAAUGUAACAAGUUUAUUAAGUUGCAGAGACAACUACUUUAUGAAUCCAUCAAAAAUUUGGUUAAAAAUCAUUAAUUAGAACAAUAUCAUCUUAGAAUAAUGAAAAAAAGUCAUAGUAUAAAACUGAUCAAUUUCCAAACAAAUGAGGAAUAACUCUCAGAAAGUGGACCCAAACUCCAGUGCUGUGAAGUACCAUCACGGAUGACUUCAGAGACGUAAGGGGGGCACUGGCAUGGUGACAUCACGGAAGAACCGAUGAACAAGGGCGUUCUUUGCUGAGAUCCUCUUAUUAGGAUCAUAAAUCAACAUUUGCUGUGGAAAAAACAAAAACAAACAAAAAAAUGUUAUAAACUAGAAAUGUUCAAAUUACAAUCAAUAUUGUUUCCAGGUAAAAAGUCACCACCAAUCCAAAAUAUUUUUAAAAUCAAUUUUGAUACUUUCUGUACAGUUGUAUAAUUUUGAAUUCAGUAAAAAGUCAUGUCACACUGAUCAUUGGUGACAACUGAGUCUUCUGGUAAUUGUGUACUUCCCUAGUUGAAAACAUUCACUUACUUA